GUUGAAAGCCGCGGCACAACACAUGCAGUCGUAACAAGGUAACCAAGAUGUUGCUGAUUCUCUCAUUACGUCGCUUGGCAUGAGUAAUGACUGGGAAACUGCCUGAUGGAGGGGGAUAACUACUGCAAACGGUGGCUAAUACCGCAUAACGUCGCAUGACCAUACAGGGGGACCUUCGGGCCUCUUGCCAUCUUGUGUGCCCAAAUGGGAUUAGCUAGUAUGUGAUGUAACUGCUCACCUAUGCGACGAUCCCUAGGUGGGUGAUAGGAUGACCAUGCACCCUGGAACUGAUACACGGGCCAUACUCCUACGGGAGGCUGAAACGGGGAAUAUUGUCCUAUGGGAGGAAGCCUGAUGCAAUCUUGCCCCGUGUAUGAAGAAGGGCUUCAGGUUGUACAGUACUUUCAGCGGGGAUGAAGGGACUAAAGUUUCUACCUUUGCUCAUUGACGUACCCCGCAGAAAAUGAUCCGGCUAACUCCGUGUCUACACCCACGGUAAUACCUAGGGUGCAGCCGGUAGUCGCAAUUACUGGGCGGAGAGCACCCUCAGGCGGAUUGAUUGGUCAUAUGUGAAGUCCCCGGGCUCACCCUGGGAACUGCAUCUGAUACUGGGAAGCUUGAAUCACGUAGAGGGGAGUAUGAUUCAAUGUGUAGCGGAGAAAUGCGUAGAGAUCUGGAGUAAUACCGGGGGAUGAGGCGAUCCCCUGGACAAAGACUGACGCUCAGGUGCGAAAGUGUGCUGAACUGCCGGAUUAGAUACCCUGGUGUCCACGCCGCAAGAUAUGACAACUUGGAGGUUGUGCCGUGAGGCAUGACUUCUCGGAGCUAACGCGUUACUCGACUGUCCUGGCGGAGUACUGACCGCAUAGGUCAAUACUCCUAUGAGAUUGACGAGCGGCACGCACGAAACGCAGGAGCAUGUGGGUUAGAUCCGAUGCAACGCGAGGAACCUGUACCUGGUACUUCGACAUCUACGGAAGUAUUCUUGACAUGGACAUGUGCCUCUGCAAUGUGAGACAGUAGCUGCAUGCUGUCGUCAGCUCAUGACUGUGAAUGCAUGGGUGACGUCCGCUACGAUCGCACCCGUAUCUUAGUGCCAA
rnacentral:rRNA from 1 species